rnacentral:lncRNA from 1 species
GCAGCGCAGAAAUGCAACAUCCCUUUUACUCACGUGGGCCUAAAACCAGAGACCAGUGUCUGGGGUCACACCCCACCAGUUAAAUGUAUUUUUGGUUGUAGACACAGUGAAAACAGAAUCAAAAAGCUCUACAUUGCAUCAGAACACUUGCACCUUGUCCUAUCCUUGGAGAUUAUCUUAUUUGUCCAUUGUCCAAACACGUCAUUUCUUCAACAUAUGAUGAGGAUGCCGCCUAUGUAUGUGUCAUCUUCAAGAUUGUGUGUAUGUAAUAUGUAGAUCUGGAGAGAGCAGGAUCGGUGGUCCGGUCGUAGGAAGGUAUGGUGGAAUCCCGAGGUUCCGGAUGCAGCAGUGCCUCAGGUCUUCGCAUAGUGUCUUGUUACAUAGACAGGUAGUCCCUGCCUGGCUGCCGGGUCGUGGACUGCGUGAUAAGAGGGUUGAGGGGGGCAGUCGAACAACAGCAGCAGGACUCGUGUUACAGCUGACUCUGGACCUGCAGCCUGCUUAUGACAGCCACAUAUGCGUCGGGGGCCAACGUGACCACGUCUGAUCCCAGAGAGGAUGUUGGUCGAGGAGAUGGUGGAGGUGGUGGUGGUGGAGGUGGUGGUGGUGGAGGUGGUGGAGGUGGGUGAUGGGAGCUUGAGCGCCAACGGCUAAGUUCAAAUUACAGGUAAAGAGAAGGAAAACCGAUAGGCCUUUGAUGAGAUACAGAGAAAGAUGGAGAAGGAGGAGGAGAAAGGGGGGAGAGAGAGGAGGAGAGCCAGGGGAAGACAGAGACGCAGAGUAAGGAGGGGAAUGUCACGAGGAAAGGAGAGAUGAAUGGCAUCCUCUCUGCUCCGCCUCUCGAAUUAGCCGGACAAGAGAAACUGGGGGUCAACUGAGCUUGAAUGACUGCUUAAAUAUUCAUCCAACCACAAAAACUAGACGUUUACCAGUCGCACGCCGUGUCUACAGCGGAUCUAUUUUGCAUAAGGCACUGUCAUGUCCGGGAUAGAACUCAUUUUAAGAACUCUAUGAAUUAUACGAUUAUAUGGUAUAUUUCAUAUGAAGUUUACUUAAAUGUAAUCUGUGUACAUAUAGUCAUCAUGUUGAGUAGACUAGAGCAGAAUGAGUUACUUUGUGAUAAAAUACUGUGCAUUUGUUUAAUCUCUCUUAAUCCAUUGCAUGGGUUAAUACUCAGCGGCUAAAUAGGCCUUCUCCUGCUUCGUUACAAACUGUUGUUUGUGCAUCCGGUGGUGGGAUGGUCCACAGAAACGAGCUACUCAUUAAACUUGUAUGACUUCAAUUGUUUGGAAUUGCAAAUACUUACAGCGUGAUAGCACUACAAUAUAUAUACGCC